rnacentral:snoRNA from 1 species
CAAUGAUGAAAUCACCCUCAAAAACUGGAAUUACCGGCAUAUUGUGUAGUGAUGAACCUACGAUUUUCUGAAG